CUAGUAGUUAUGGGCUGUUGUGUGGAGUGGAAUGUCCGGAGCUCUCUUCAGAAGAGAAAGCGAGUCAAAACAAUUCUUCUAAAACAGUGAAUUUGGUUUGCCCUGAAGCAUAUGGGAUUCAGAAAUUAAUUCCUACAGUCAGUGAACAGGCUGAUGAUGAUUACUGGUUCCUAUCAGACCCGGGAGUCAGCAUCACAGACUUGUGGGACACGUAGGAGCUAGGAGCUUUUAAUUUUUCACAAUUUACUGAAUUUUUUUUUUCUGGAAUCUGGCUGGUGCAAUCAGAAUGGUUUGAAGGUCUAUCUGACAGGAAAACCAGUGGAUGCUAAUCUAUACUCCUCUCUAACAUAACAGAAAAGGAGACUCAACCACAGUAGGAGAUCGAUCACUCUCAAGAUGAAUGCACCUACAAUGGUGCCGCAUUAGUUUACCUAUAAGCACCACCUGGGGAUGCUGUCCCAAAUGUAUAGAGAGGCAGUUAGCUUACAUUGAACAUGACGUUACUGACAUUGUUUCUUGACCACAGUUCUAGGUGUAAAUUUCAUAGCUACAACUUACUCCUUCAAUGAAACUGAUGAUUCUGGAGCCAAUGAGGUCUUAUGUAAUCUUCUGCUACAUCCAAGCAUAUACAGCCAGGAUCAAUUUCUUAAUGAAAUAGGAUAGAAUAUUUCUAUUUUUGGAAUAACAGUUUAUACUUUAUAUUAUAUUGAUAUUUA